UAACCAUGAUGUGGGCAAGAGAGAACUAAUUCCUUGAACCAUUCCCAACACUCAAAUAAGUUCUCAUUAUUUUUCUGGGAGAAGUUCAUUAUUUCUCAUCUAAGAGU